AACUUCAAAAAAAUUUAUUCCACAGAGAAGAUAAAAAUGGCAUGAAAUUUUCCAAAGGCAAAUUAUGAACCCUGUGUCAAUUAGAAUGGCCCAGUGUCAGAGUCAGUUGGCCCCUGUGGGAACUUAUUCUAUGCACAUUGCUCGCAAGGUCUGGAAUAUGGUGACCCGAGUUGGGGGCCCACAGGUCCCGAUCAACCUUUGGCACUCCAUCGGGACAGGACUACAGUCCAUCAGCCCUGUCUUCCUCCUCCCUUUUCCUUCAAAACAGACAGCGCCUGGGGGAGGAUUGAUUUAUGUCCCUUUUACAACUCGUGAUCUUUACAAUUGGAAACAUCAAAAUCUCCCCUUCUCUGAAAAACCUGAGGCAUUAAUCUCUCUUCUUGAGCCUGUUUUUCAUACCCAUCAGCCAACCUGGGAUGAUUGCCAGCAGCUUUUACAGAUCCUGUAAAAAGAUCCUGAGGAGUGGGACCACAUUUAUCAACAGGCAGUCAAAGAGGCCCUGGGGCCAAACCCCAGCGUCACUCCCGGAACCCUGGGGUAUUCGGCUAGGGCUGAGGCUGCAGUUUCGUCACAGUGCCCCGAAUGGGACCCCAAUGAUGAUGACAGUAAGAGGAGCCUGGGGGCCUACUGCUAGCACUUACUAGGGGGACUCCAGGCAGCUGCCAGAAAGGUAAACUGCGAGACUGAUAAAAUGACAGAUGAAAAGUAACAAACUCAGAAAAAUAAGAGGUGAACCAGUUACGAGUCAUUCCACAAACCUAGUGGCACUAUUCGGGAAAACUCUUUAAAUAUCAAAAGCUCAAAGUUCUACCAUAUUUUAUACCUUCUUUUUACAACCUAAAUAAAAUACAGAUAGACAAGU